rnacentral:rRNA from 1 species
GACAGAGGGUGCAAACGUUGCUCGGAAUUACUGGGCGUAAAGCGCGUGUAGGCGGACGUGUAAGUCAGGUGUGAAAUCCCCGGGCUCAACCCGGGAACUGCACUUGAAACUGCGCGUCUUGAGUACUGGAGAGGGUAGUGGAAUUCCUGGUGUAGAGGUGAAAUUCGUAGAUAUCAGGAGGAACACCGGUGGCGAAGGCGGCUACCUGGACAGACACUGACGCUGAGACGCGAAAGCGUGGGGAGCAAACAGG